rnacentral:rRNA from 1 species
CAGUAGCCGCGGGAAUACGUAGGUGGCAAGCGUUAUCCGGAAUUAUUGGGCGUAAAGCGCGCGCAGGCGGUUUCUUAAGUCUGAUGUGAAAGCCCACGGCUCAACCGUGGAGGGUCAUUGGAAACUGGGGGACUUGAGUGCAGAAGAGGAAAGUGGAAUUCCAAGUGUAGCGGUGAAAUGCGUAGAUAUUUGGAGGAACACCAGUGGCGAAGGCGACUUUCUGGUCUGUAACUGACACUGAGGCGCGAAAGCGUGGGGAGCAAACAGGAUUAGAGACCCGCGUAGUCCCUGUCUCUUAUAC